AGCACAGCAUGUAAAUAAAUGAAUAAAAUAAAGGUCCAUCAAAUAUAUAUAGUAAUAACAAAAUUUUGAAAUUUUAAAGCAUAACAGAAAAAUGAAAUUUAAAAUUCACUAUCCCACAGGGGUCCUGAAGACUCCCUAAUAAAAUAAUAUAUACAAAAUAUAUAGAACAAAUAUAAUUCUAAAUCCUUUUAGAAUUCUAAAAUACAAGGAGGAAUUUUUCUCAUACUCUAAUGUUACAGAGAGAGCAACAAAAUCACAAUAAAUGUCUAACCCACAGUCUCAAACCUGGUUAGUGACCAUGCUGAUGCUCUCUGCAGAUCUGAUUUCAAAGAAGGGAUUCCUUUCGCUGCAUGUAAUUUGGAAAUCCAGGAAAUGCACAGGGCUAAGAAAUGGCAGGUGCUCAGACACCAAAGACCAACACAGUGACCUAAGCUAGUUUGUUGCAGAAGUGGAGGGUGGGGCAAGGGGGGUUUAAAUAUGAAAGAAAAGCACAAGGCAGGGAAACCAAGUGUUCAGUUUAAAAAUCACAUAGGCCCAGCAUCAUCUUGAAGAGACAAAACACGAAUGAAAGGGAUUCUUUGUUUAAAUAGGGACGAAAAGCAAUCCAGGAACUAAUGGGAACUAUUUAUGAUUUGGGGACAAAGGGAUUAUUUAGGGCUGAAAUGGAAACUUCUUGUAGAUGGGAUGCAACUCAUUGUCUCAUUCUACCAUGACAGUUUUUUAGGGAGGUUACUGUCACCCUAGAUUAGGCAGAUUGGAAUUAUUAAAACAUAAAAAUGCAAAAACUCUCAGGUGUAAUUGACAAAAGGCAGUUUGUAUAUGUUUUAAAAUGAAAUGGGAACAAACCACUGCAAUGGAAACUGUAGACAUUCUUAACUGUGAGCUCACUCUAUAAGAACAGCUCCAGGGGAAACCAUUGCCUGGUGAGAAUCUGCCAAUAGAGUGUGCAGAAAGGGCAGACUCACAAAAUAGGUAAGCAAGAGGUUGCUGAGGGCAAGGCAACAAUUUCUGAUUGAAAAGUGCAUUUUUGGUGUAUUGAAAGGAUAGAAGGGUAGUUUCUCACCAUGACAAUUUGGAUGUCUCUCAGAUCUCAAAUUCAACAUUUCUAAAACCAAAUUCUCAUUUUUUCCUCCCUUGUCCUGUUUCUUCUAUCAUCAGUGAAAGGAAACUCUACCUUCUAGCUUCUCAGUUCAAAAAUCUUGGUAUUGUCUUUGACUUCACUUUUGAGAAAUUUUGAAAAUUUGCAUAGUUUUUCUCAAAAUUCUUACCCGUUCUAUCAAAUCCUGGUAUUUUCACCUUCAAAAUAUAUCUAGAGUUAAUCUCUUCUCACCACUUUCUCCAAGACCACCUUGUUCCAAGUCAGCAACAUACAUAUGAGGCUCAAGCAGCACUCAUAGAAGUUGUAGGCUUGACCUCAAACAGUAAAUCAUAUUUUAAGCAGCUGCUUGGGUCUGGAGUACCAAAGGAUGGCCACAGUGGUCUCAGGAAAUCUUACAAGGUGAGAUUCAUUACAUUAGUCUUUGACAUCCCUCCGUCCCAUUUGAAAUAUCGAAUGGAAUGCUUCAACAAGAUCCCUGCAUUAAAGACUGAUGGAUGGCCGUUGCCCACACAAGUCUAGACAGUGAGUGGUUUGAUAGCCCUUUGGAGGGCAGUGAAGGUUCCUGGUUCAUACUUGAGAAUCCUGACAAUGAGAUAGCAGGGAACCAAGGCAGCGGUAUGGAUGCCCCUGGUGUGACCCUUCAGAAUAAAUCUGGGAUAAAGUAGUCAGAGGAAAACAAAUACAUGAUGUCAAGACAGAGCAGCGUUUAAGAAUUAGGUAAUGGUCACGGGGAUCUGGACCAAGAAAGCACCCAGCAGGCCAGUUGGUAAUCACUGGCUCCACGAAAGCCUGAUCCACUGCGAUCUGCUGUGUCCAGUGGACUAUGGAGGUCCUCAAGACACCAUCUUUUGAAGGAUACAGAACCUUACCAUCACUCCCCACACCCCCAGGUCCUCAGGGGAAAGCUGGGGGAGCCCAAAUCUUUCCGGAACCUUGAAAACCACCAUCGUGAAUAGGUGAGUGAGGAGGGUGGAUGAAGGAGUGAAUUGGCUGUGUGAUGACAAUUUCUUUUUGAAGGAAGGACGUGCAAAGUAGCAAAAAUCGAGAGACAAAAAGAAGCUAACCAUGACCCAAUUUCCUUAGCUGCGUAACCCAAAGAGGAAGAGGUCAGAACUGUAGUGAUUUCCACUGUUCUGCGCCGGGAAGACCCACCGAGAUUCCGACGCGGGUCGGGGCAGCGUGAGCUCUUUUCGCAUCCUGCCAGCAGGCGGCGCUGUGGGAGCCAAGCUCACGCUGCAGCUACGCGCGGGAGAGGCAGUGUUCCCAGGAAGCCCCGCGUGUCUCCACGGCAACGGCGCCAGGGGCGGGUCCUGGGGAGCAGGCCCCGCCCACAACGCGGCCUCCGCUUUCAGAACUUCUCGGCUGCGGUUUGAGUGACUCAGUUCCCAAACUCCACACCAGUCUUGGGCCCUCGAUGGACCUCGCAGGAGGGCUCAGGCAAUGCAGAGUCUUCAGGUGCUACCAGGUGCCGGGGCGGGGUCAUUGACGUCAGCGGGGGAAGGACUGAGAAUUGAGCAGAGAAAUGCGACUUACAGUUUGAUCUUAUUCAAUUAAGCCCUGGACUGAUCAGCCGGUUCCAGGGAAGCAAGACAACAGUAAGCCCAAAUUUGGGUGGUUAUCAAAGACAGGGCUGCUCUAGAAAGUUCAUAGAAAAAGGAUAUGCGGUAUUUUCAACGACUACCCAAAGAGCUGAUGUGAAGGACCUGCACUGCCAAGAGCCUCAAACUCCUUUCUAAAGCACACAGCCUCAGGGCUCUGCCCAUCUCCUGGCUCUUCAGUGUGGGGACCCUACUCCUGCUCUUGAAGCAAGUUCCUGGGUGAAGAGCCAACCAAUGGAACCGCAGGAAAGCCACUCUGAGGCAGAAAUUUAUUUAUUACAAUUCUGGAGGCUGGGAAGUCGAAGACCAAGAUGCUUGGUUUGGGACAGGAAAUAAAGAAAGAAAAUUAAAGGAAUUCACAAUGAAGAAGAAAUAAACUAUGUUUACAGAUGACAAGAUUGAUAGAGAACUAGAAUCUACCAGUCAAAUCUUCAGCAAAGCUACUGAAACCAACUGAGUUUAGCAAUGCUUCAUACGAGGUCAGUGUACAAAAAUCAAUGGCAUUUCUGGUUUUUUUUUUUUUAUUUUUUUUUUUAGUUGUAGAUAGACACAGUAUCUUUAUUUUAUUUUUAUGUGGUGCUGAGGAUCGAACUCGGGGCAAGCACUCUAUCACUGCGCCACAACCCCAGCCCCAGCACUUCUGUUAAUUUGCAAUGAGUAAUUAAAAUUUGACAUUUAAAAAAUUUUCCUUAAAAUAGCACAAAAUAUUGCAAGUUGUAUGUAGAACCAUGCUUUGAAAACUUCUUGGCACAUAGUUGGUGCUUAAUAAACAUUGAACAAAUAAAUAAAGUGUGAGUCAAGUCCAACAAUAUAUAAAAAUAAUAAUUUAGUAAGUGACUUACUAAAUUCAAAUCCAUGCAACCUGACUCUAGAGCAGCUACUCUACCCAUUCACAACAAAUACAAUAAAUAUUUUUUGUUUCUAA